rnacentral:rRNA from 1 species
UGGGCACUCUAAGGAGACUGCCGGUGACAAACCGGAGGAAGGUGGGGACGACGUCAAGUCAUCAUGGCCCUUACGUGUAGGGCUACACACGUGCUACAAUGGCAAGUACAGAGGGCAGCAAUACCGCGAGGUGGAGCGAAUCCCACAAAGCUUGUCGUAGUCCGGAUUGGAGUCUGCAACUCGACUCCAUGAAGUCGGAAUCGCUAGUAAUCGUAGAUCAGAAUGCUACGGUGAAUACGUUCCCGGGCCUUGUACACACCGCCCGUCACACCAUG